rnacentral:tRNA from 1 species
UCCCUGGUGGCUCACGGUAAAGCGUCUGCUUACAAUGCAGGAGACCCAGGUUCGAUCCCUGGUCAGGAAG